rnacentral:rRNA from 1 species
UACGUAGGGUCCGAGCGUUGUCCGGAAUUACUGGGCGUAAAGAGCUCGUAGGUGGUUUGUCGCGUUGUUCGUGAAAACUCACAGCUCAACUGUGGGCGUGCGGGCGAUACGGGCAGACUGGAGUACUGCAGGGGAGACUGGAAUUCCUGGUGUAGCGGUGGAAUGCGCAGAUAUCAGGAGGAACACCGGUGGCGAAGGCGGUUCUCUGGGCCUUACCUGACGCUGAGGAGCGAAAGCGUGGGGAGCGAACAGG